UACAGAGGUCCCAAGCGUUGUUCGGAUUCACUGGGCGUAAAGGGUGCGUAGGCGGCCGGUUAAGUCUGACGUGAAAUCUCCGAGCCUAACUCGGAAACUGCAUCGGAAACUAUCCGGCUCGAGGGUUGGAGGGGGGACUGGAAUACUUGGUGUAGCAGUGAAAUGCGUAGAUAUCAAGUGGAACACCAGUGGCGAAGGCGAGUCCCUGGACAGCUCCUGACACUGAGGCACGAAAGCUAGGGGAGCAAACAGG
rnacentral:rRNA from 1 species